rnacentral:misc_RNA from 1 species
CUGCCCCUCUGCUUCGCGCGCCAAACACGCGAGCAGCAACCGCGCCAGGACCCGCCCGCGCGCCGCCAAGGCCGCGAGUCGCUGGUCCGCGCUCGCGCCGCCGAGACCGCGAGCUUGGCUGGUCCGCACUCGCGUCGCCAAGGCCGCCGGGGCUGCUGGCUUGUGCCCGCACCGACGCCGAGGGGCCGCGCUCGGGGCUACCCGCGCGAGCCGCCGGGGGGGCCGCACCAGGCCGCACUCGCGCGCUGCCGCCGUCGUCGGGCCGCCGUGCGCCAGCCACGGCGCGCCGCCGGCUGCUACCCCGACGCCGAGCAGUGCCCGCGCCUGGAGCCGCCAGCCGACCGUGCUGCGCAGACGACCCGCCCCGCCGGACCUGCAGCCUCGACGCCGCCGUCCCUGCUCCACGCCGGCGUCCUGCCUCGUCGUGCCUCCACUCUGCUCCGGCACCGCACGCCGUGGUCAGGUCGUCGCUCAUCUCCGACCUCGCUUCACCUCACCCUUCUCCCUGCCGCGAGCGCUCCCCGCUGCGGCCUCCUCUUCCCUUGCUGUCGGGCACUGUCUGCCUCUGUUCCCAGCUGCGCUACCGCAGCCACUCCCUGCCGUCGGGCGCCGUCGGCCCCAACUCCCAGCCACUCCGCCCGACUCGUUCCUCGUGGCUGCGCGCGCCCUUCUGGACGGCCCUUCGCGCUCCUCGCGCCGUUGCGCUUCUCCUAA